rnacentral:rRNA from 1 species
GACAGAGGGUGCAAACGUUGUUCGGAAUUACUGGGCGUAAAGCGAGUGUAGGCGGCUUGGCAAGUCGGAUGUGAAAGCCCCGGGCUCAACCCGGGAAGUGCACUCGAUACUGCUUAGCUUGAGUGUCGGAGAGGUUGGUGGAAUUCUCGGUGUAGAGGUGAAAUUCGUAGAUAUUCGGAAGAACACCAGUGGCGAAGGCGACUUACUGGACACAUAUUGACGCUGAGGUGCGAAAGCGUGGGGAGCAAACAGG